AGGACGAACGCUGGCGGCGUGCUUAACACAUGCAAGUCGAACGAACUCUUCGGAGUUAGUGGCGGACGGGUGAGUAACACGUGGGGACGUGCCUUUUGGUUCGGAAUAGCUCCUGGAAACGGGUGGUAAUGCCGAAUGUGCCCUUCGGGGGAAAGAUUUAUCGCCAUUAGAGCGGCCCGCGUCUGAUUAGCUAGUUGGUGAGGUAAAGGCUCACCAAGGCUACGAUCAGUAGCUGGUCUGAGAGGAUGACCAGCCACAUUGGGACUGAGACACGGCCCAAACUCCUACGGGAGGCAGCAGUUGGGGAAUCUUGCGCAAUGGGCGAAAGCCUGACGCAGCCAUGCCGCGUGUAUGAUUGAAGGUCUUAGGAUUGUAAAAUACUUUCACCGUGAAGAUAAUGACUGAGCGAGAAGAGCCCGCUAACUCGUGCCAGCAGCCG
rnacentral:rRNA from 1 species